rnacentral:rRNA from 1 species
UACGUAGGGGGCAAGCGUUGUCCGGAUUUAUUGGGCGUAAAGAGCGUGUAGGCGGCCGUACAGGUCAGCUGUGAAAACUCGAGGCUCAACCUCGAGACGUCGGUUGAAACCGUACGGCUAGAGUCCGGAAGAGGAGAGUGGAAUUCCCGGUGUAGCGGUGAAAUGCGCAGAUAUCGGGAAGAACACUUAGGGCGUAGGCAAGACUCUGGACAAAUGCUGACGCUCAUGCACGAAGGCUAGGGUAGCGAACGGG